AGUACCUCCUUUUUCUCUAGUUCUCCAUGUACCUGCUCUUUUAAAGCUUUUUGUUGCUGCUUUAUUGUUCUUCCAUCUCUGAUGCUUUAUGCAGCAGCCUGCCUUGUAGGUAUGUAAUGGGAUAAAAUGAGCAGCUAGAAACACGCUGCUAACAAAAUGCAAAAAAUGAUAAACUGCCAUGGUUACAAAGGGAUGAAUUAAAACAGCUAGCUGCACAGCAGGUUGAUCCUGAGCUAAGAAAAUCUUUCAGCAAUAGCCAUGACCACUGCUGUUGAUAUGUGUGUAGCCGUAAAUCUGGAUGUAGAGGAGCCACUUGACUGAAUUUGCAGGUGCUGCACACUGAUCUGCUUACUGGAGUGCUUUUUGCUGUAAACAUGUAAGGAUGAACAUGUUUGCUUCAGGAAAAAAAAAAAUAGAGAGAGAAAAAAAGGAAUAAAAAACAGGAAAGGAGGGAAUGGCUGUAGAUGAGUCAUUUCUCUGCACACAGCAAGGCCCACAUACCAAAAACCAAAACACACUUUGCAAAGUGCGGGUACCCCAAAAUGACCCGAAAUGAUGCCAGGGCACCGCGGGCUCACUUGGGAUGGGGUGCCCAGUGUGCGGGCCCUGAAAGGAGGGCAGAAAAGCGGCGCUGCAGGCAGGAUGCAGCCUUGAAACGGGGCACACAGGAGCCAGAAGCACGGGGAAGCAUCCACCCAAAGUUGUGUCUGCAGAGCGGUGUUUGGAGGAGCCUCUUGCUCAGCAUCAGUGCCGUGACAGCUCUCCCAGCUCACCGCCCGCUGCCAGCCACGCUCUCCUAUUGUUCCGAGCAGCUGCGGGCGGCAUCAACAACACCGGGAGAGGCAGGAAUUAGCUGGGGACACCCACUAAUUGCCCCCCCCCAGCUACCUGCACCCCCAGGAGGGGUGGAUGCCAGCCGGGGACAGGCGCUGCCCGCCUUCCUCCUCCCCAACACCCGCAGCCUCCCCCUCGCCCACCCGCCGGCCGAGGGCGGUGCUUGCGGCUCGGGGCGGUCCCGGCGUGGCCCCGCCGCCGUUCCCCGGUGCCCUGGAGCCUCUCCUGUCCCUGUCGCUGUCCCUGUCCCCAUCGCCGUCCCCAUCCUCGUCCCUGUCGCCGUCUCCCCGGGCCUGUCAGGGGCCGCCAUGGGGACCAACGCGCCGCCGCGCAGGGAGCCGCCCGCCCGCGGCCCCCACGGGAAGUAAGAGGUAGCACCUCUCGCAGCGUGGAGCCUCAGCAGCCCAAUGGCAGGGACGACUGGGCUGGUUUCUGACACACGCUGCCGGAAAGGUGUUCUCUAACCACACGAUUUUGGGUGGUCUCCUGCAUCCUGGCACGCACUCCGUCCCGGGAAAAAUGGGCUGCUUGUCUCUGGGUGGUGUUUGAGGUGUAUGGACUUUCCCAGGGGGACUCGGCGCAGCCGGUGGACGUGCCACGCUGAGGUCAGAGCAUCUGUCGGGAGAGCUUUCCUGCAAAGUCAGGGAGCCUUGCAGCAUUUGGUUUUACUUCUGUGUGAUUCCGGACUGUCUGUCAUUCAAACACCGCGUGUUAAAUCAAAGCUCUCGUAAAAUAUAACACGGAUAGCCAACCCAACUGAGAAAUGAGACUAUCCUGUAGGUUAAGUAAGAAUAACCACUGAGCAUUACUCAGAUGCUUUUUAUGUGAGUGUCUGUUUCAGAUAACUAUCGAAAGGAAGGAAGGAAAGAAGUAAAUUACCAUUUACCAUGGUUGUUGUUGUGUUGGUUUUUUUUCCAAACCAUUAUUUUUUCUUUCUUUCUAAAUGUCAUCCUGAGCUCUGAAGCUUUUCUCUUUGUCAUUUACAAGGUUCUGGCUUCCUGUCCAAGUAAAACACAUUUACAGAAGGUUUGUGGCAGGCUUUUCAUACUGUCUUUAGAGAUAGUUCCUCCUUUAAAAUUGUGUGCUUGCUUGUAAUUUUCUUUGACUUUUGCUUGUUGCUUGGAAAAGAAAACCGUUCCUGGAGGUUGCUGGUAAGGAAAAUAAGAGCUACAGAUAUUCCAAACAAAAAAUGAGGACGCUUCAUUCCUGACCCAGAAUUAAAAACAAACAUGUACUUUUAUACGGUGCCUGAUACAGAAAACAAUGUGCUUUCAGCUGGCAUUUGAUCCUUCCACGACAUCCCAACAAGCAUCUUCUAAUGGAAAAUAUGAAAUUGUUUCGGGAACUAGUAACAGCCACUAACAGCCAUAGUGUAGGAUUUAAGAUUGCCCUAAAAGUCACACAAUUAAAGGUGAUGUUUACCUAACUAAGGUGAUGAAAUCUGGUAUGUUACAAGCUUCCAAGACAGAAGGAUGUGCUCUUUUCUUAAUGAACAGCUACAGGAGAAAAAAAAUAAAUCAUUUCUUUGCCCUUUUUAUAUUCUGUCU
rnacentral:lncRNA from 1 species